GCACGUGUUUCACACGAACUGUUUGAAUGACGGAAAAGCGCCAGCUUCAAGUGCUGGCAAACAAAUGUGGGAUCAGUGAGGUGGCGUUAAACUCUUAAAAUGCUCUUCUGAAAUCCCUGCACCUACAGAAAACCUCUCUCUUCUGACUAGGGCUGCAAGUUCUCAAACAGGAAACGGCAAAGUCACUGCAGGUGAACCAGAAGUGACACGACUGGAAAAGUGAGUACCUACACAAGCCGAAGGAGGAGUCAGUUAACGCCCCCUAGCGGCUGGAUUCUCCUCGGUUUGGUGUGUGUCGGCCUGCAGCAUCACCCGGUGCAACAUCGCACACUCAGACAUCACACGGAGACUGCAUGUGCAAAUAUACUGCGGGGCACUGUUUGUCUCAAUGUCCCUUUGUGGAGGAUGAACAUGAACCUGUGCCCUCUAUAAAUCAGAGAUGGAAAAUAUUUGAUAUGACAAAUGCAAAAUAGAUGUAUUUAUUCUGGGGGGUUGAUAUCAUUUGAUGUUUUCUUUAGGACUUUUUUUAUUAUCUAAAAUAGACACUCACAUGACUAUGUAACAUGCCAUAGUGCCUUUUUUUUG